rnacentral:rRNA from 1 species
CAAGGCCUUGCGCUCUUUGAGCGGCCGAUGUCAGAUUAGCUAGUUGGUGAGGUAAAGGCUUACCAAGGCGACGAUCUGUAGCGGGUCUGAGAGGAUGAUCCGCCACACUGGAACUGAGACACGGUCCAGACUCCUACGGGAGGCGGCAGUGGGGAAUUUUGGACAAUGGGGGCAACCCUGAUCCAGCCAUGCCGCGUGAGUGAAGAAGGCCUUCGGGUUGUAAAGCUCUUUCGGCCGGGAAGAAAUCGCAUGGGCCAAUACCCUGUGUGGAUGACGGUACCGGAAUAAGAAGCACCGGCUAACUACGUGCCAGCAGCCGCGGUAAUACGUAGGGUGCGAGCGUUAAUCGGAAUUACUGGGCGUAAAGCGUGCGCAGGCGGUUUUGUAAGACAGGCGUGAAAUCCCCGGGCUUAACCUGGGAACUGCGUUUGUGACUGCAAGGCUAGAGUACGGCAGAGGGGGGUGGAAUUCCACGUGUAGCAGUGAAAUGCGUAGAGAUGUGGAGGAACACCAAUGGCGAAGGCAGCCCCCUGGGUCGAUACUGACGCUCAUGCACGAAAGCGUGGGUAGCAAACAGGAUUAGAUACCCUGGUAGUCCACGCCCUAAACUAUGUCAACUAGGUGUUGGGUGGGUAAAACCAUUUAGUACCGUAGCUAACGCGUGAAGUUGACCGCCUGGGGAGUACGGCCGCAAGGUUAAAACUCAAAGGAAUUGACGGGGACCCGCACAAGCGGUGGAUGAUGUGGAUUAAUUCGAUGCAACGCGAAAAACCUUACCUACCCUUGACAUGCCAGGAACUUGCCAGAGAUGGCUUGGUGCCCGAAAGGGAGCCUGGACACAGGUGCUGCAUGGCUGUCGUCAGCUCGUGUCGUGAGAUGUUGGGUUAAGUCCCGCAACGAGCGCAACCCUUGUCGUUAAUUGCCAUCAUUUAGUUGGGCACUUUAACGAGACUGCCGGUGACAAACCGGAGGAAGGUGGGGAUGACGUCAAGUCCUCAUGGCCCUUAUGGGUAGGGCUUCACACGUCAUACAAUGGUCGGUACAAAGGGUUGCCAAGCCGCGAGGCGGAGCCAAUCCCAGAAAGCCGAUCGUAGUCCGGAUUGCAGGCUGCAACUCGCCUGCAUGAAGUCGGAAUCGCUAGUAAUCGUGGAUCAGCAUGUCACGGUGAAUACGUUCCCGGGUCUUGUACACACCGCCCGUCACACCAUGGGAGCGGGUUCCGCCAGAAGUAGGUAGCCUAA